AGGGGUCAACUGACCAUUCGGUCAUGUUGACUUAUUUGUAAAUCUAACUUUGCCGAACAUUAUUGCUGUUUACAAUUUAUCGCUUUCUAUAAUAGUAUUCAAGAUAAUAACCAAAAACAGCAAAAUUUCUUUAAAAAUUACCAAUUGGAGGGCAGCAACCCAACAACCGGUUGUCCAAUUCAUUUGAAUAUUUCAGGGCAGAUAUAUAUUGACUUGAUUAACAAUUUAACUCCUUGUCAGAUUUCCUCUAAAUGAUUUGGGUUUCAGAGUUAUAAGCAAAAAACUACAUGUUACCCCUGUUCUAUUUUUAGCCGUGGUGGCCAUCUUGGUUGGAUGGCCAGGUCAUCGGACACAUUUUUCAAACAAGGUACCUCAAAGAUGAUUGUGGCCAAGUUUGAAUUAAUUUGGCCCAGUAGUUUCAGAGGAGAAGAUUUUUGUAAAAGAUAAACUAAGAUUUACGAAAAAAUGGUUAAAAAUUGACUAUAAAGGGCAAUAACUCCUAAAGGGGUCAACUGACCAUUUCGGUCAUGUUGACUUAUUUGUAAAUCAUACUUUGAUGAACAUUAUUGCUGUUUACAGUUUAUCUCUAUCUAUGAUAAUAUUCAAGAUAAUAACCAAAAACAGCAAAAUUUCCUCAAAAUUACCAAUUCAGGGGCAGCAACCCAACAACAGGUUGACCGAUUCAUCUGAAAAUUUCAGGGCAGAUAGAUCUUGACCUGAUAAACAUUUUUACUUCAUGUGAGAUUUCCUCUAAAUGUUUUGGUUUUUGAGUUAUAAGCCAAAAACUGCAUUUUACCCCUAUGUUCUAUUUUUAGCCGUGGCGGCCAUCUUGGUUGGUUGACCGGGUCACGCCACACAUUUUUAAAACUAGAUACCC
rnacentral:lncRNA from 1 species